rnacentral:rRNA from 1 species
UACGGGGGGGGCAAGCGUUGUUCGGAAUUACUGGGCGUAAAGGGCUCGUAGGUGGCCAACUAAGUCGGACGUGAAAUCCCUCGGCUUAACCGGGGAACUGCGUCCGAUACUGAAAGGCUUGAAUCCGGGAGAGGGAUGUGGAAUUCCAGGUGUAGCGGUGAAAUGCGUAGAUAUCUGGAGGAACACCGGUGGCGAAGGCGGCAUCCUGGACCGGCAUUGACGCUGAGGCGCGAAAGCUAGGGGAGCAAACGGG